rnacentral:piRNA from 1 species
AGGAAGGAAAGUGAGGAAAACUGAAUU